rnacentral:rRNA from 1 species
UACGUAGGGGGCGAGCGUUGUCCGGAAUUACUGGGCGUAAAGCGUGCGCAGGCGGUGAUGUAAGACAGAUGUGAAAUCCCCGGGCUCAACCUGGGAACUGCAUUUGUGACUGCAUCGCUGGAGUACGGCAGAGGGGGAUGGAAUUCCGCGUGUAGCAGUGAAAUGCGUAGAUAUGCGGAGGAACACCGAUGGCGAAGGCAAUCCCCUGGGCCUGUACUGACGCUCAUGCACGAAAGCGUGGGGAGCAAACAGG